AUGCCAUGGUGCCCUCUCUUCCUCUGUCAAACACAUCUUACACUCAGAAAAGCCAGGAAAAAAACACAGCUGAACCACAGCCGGGAUGUCCAAAUGCUCCAGGAACCAGGUCUGUCCGCACACAUCAGUAUCCCACAGCUAGCAGAGGAGGACUGGUCCAGACUAGUAGUGCUAUCUCCUCUCUUCCAGCUGAUGAAGGAAGUGGAGCAGCAGCUCAGGGAUAGUGCCAGAGAUAGAGGCCUUCUCAAGAUCCAGCCCUCGGGUCAGGCUCUAAUUAUCACCACUGAAAUGUGCAAUCUGGACUCGUCAGACCUGCAAAGUCAUUAG
ensembl:lncRNA